UCAUCACCCCCCUUUUCUCUCCUCUCUUUCUUCCCCCAAUUUUCGAAAACCCUUCCCCAAAUUGGAGGAGUGAAAACGGAAACCCAAGUCUUGGAUUCACCGGUCUCCCUCGCCUCCGCUGCCGACGUCUCCGUUGCCAGUCGUGGCCCUGUCCUUUCUCACUUCUCACGGCUCCUCGGCAUAGCGGCAUUUUCCAUCGUCGUGGCGUCUCAUUGGGCUCGGUGGAUUACUCCUCCGACUCGUUCACAGCCCCCUCUCUGUUCACCCUCGUAGCCGGGUGCAUCAGUCACCGGGGGGCAUCCCGGGUGCACUGCUUACGGAGCCCCUAUCUGUUGUGGCAUGCUGGAUUCUCGCGGCGUCUUUCGGGCUCUACCGUCGCCUCUGUCGCGACAGAAAUCUCCUCGACGGACAUCCUAUCGUUCAAGCUAUGCCUUCAUCUUCUACCCCCUUUACUCAUUUCCUUGUGUUGCGGCAGUAGCCACACUUUCAUCUAAGUUUCUAAAUUUUGGAAGUCUAAAAUAUAGAUGAUGCUCGUAUUUGAUCCUGUGGGGGACUUGUUCUUGUAGCUAUUUGUUGGUUUCGAAGUGAAACUCCAUGUUGUGAUUCUACUAAUAGGACUGUCGAGCAUAGGUUUAUGUGAUGUCUGUUCAAGUGAUUAUUUCAUACUGUUUAAUCCUAGCUGUGGCAUUGCAAGGUUCGAAUUUAGUUCUUGAGCAUCUAUGCUCCUAGGUUCUCAUGUUCUAGCUAUUUGCUUGUUCUAUAUGAUGCAAUUAUGGUGUUAAGGGGAUUACCUCUUGUGAAUGUGUUGGUAUGAAGUUGUCGGUCUCUGGCCACGUCUUAAGCCGAGCUCUCUGCUUACAACUCCCGAUUCCUCUUCCCUCUCUCCCUUCCGGUCUUGGCUAAAAUCGAAGCUGAUAUGUGGUGUGAAAGACAGGCUAAGGGUUACUCCUAUAUUUAUCCUGAAUCUGUAACUAAAAGCCUGAUAAGGCUGAUGUACUUGGCUGAAACAAGAUCCUUAGGUUGUGCCAAAAUUGGUUGACCUUCCUGCAGCUCUAUAGGCUGUGUACUCGUGGUUUUAUUUGAGUUGCUGAGAUUUUGCUAUGCUCUGUUUUUGGCUUCAUGUGGGGGUCUAGUACUUGGUGUAUUUAUGGAGUGUUGUCUCAUUUGGCAGGUGUAUAAGGGAUGGCAGGAGUUUGCCACUGAUUCCCCUGCUGUGGUCGUUGUACAACCAAGCUGGAAGGGCAGGCCAUUUCUGGUGGUAGCAGCCUUCAUUCUUACCUAUUUUGAGAAAUAGGGAUGCUAAGUGUGGUUCUCACCUUGGUGUCCCAGUUUGUUGGGCCGCUUGAGCUGGGCUGAGACCUGGCCUGCCACGCAUCCUAUGACUCGAAUUGUAAUAGCGUAGCCCUACGUGUAAACUUUCUUUAACAUGUAAUAGUUAGUUGAGUUGUGUAUUUCGUUUUUUUUUUAUUUCCAUCGCCAAAAUUUGUAAUACACAAAUUAAAUUGGAAAUUCUAAAUAUCGUGUUUUUGUUUA